GUCCACGCCCUAAACGAUGUCAACUGGAUGUUGGGAGGGUUAAACCUCUUAGUGUCGUAGCUAACGCGUGAAGUUGACCGCCUGGGGAGUACGGCCGCAAGGCUAAAACUCAAAGGAAUUGACGGGGACCCCGCACAAGCGGUGGAUGAUGUGGAUUAAUUCGAUGCAACGCGAAAACCUUACCUACCCUUGACAUGCCAGGAACCCUGCUGAGAGGUGGGGGUGCCCGAAAGGGAGCCUGGACACAGGUGCUGCAUGGCUGUCGU
rnacentral:rRNA from 1 species